rnacentral:tRNA from 1 species
AAUUCUAUAUUCAAAAAUGAUUUUAGAUUGCAAAUUUAAAGGUGUCUAGUUGACUAGAAUUU